rnacentral:lncRNA from 1 species
CACUAAUGAGGCGAUAGCUCAAGCCAGGGAAUCAAGGUCUCAUCAAGAUCCGAACUCAAAUGAGAGACUGAACCACAUGAUUGAAAUCAUGUAUAAUGGUGACGUCGUUAUUCUCAAGGUUGCUUCUAUGGAUAACAUAUAUAGAUAUCCAUUGUCUAGGCCUACUACUCAGCCAUUUAUGAAAUGACUACAGAAGAGGUAUCAUCACUAAUGACCAAGCUGAUUGGCUCUAGUGCAAGUGGGAGAUUGUUGGAAAUGUGCCCUAAAACCAAUCAUAUGAUGAUACUUUAUGGACAUUUCACAUGUUAAACUAAUCUAGUUUAAUAUCAAGGGCAAGAUUAAUUGUUUGAGCCGUCUCAUAUAAAUGUAUAUACGCUUAAAACGAUAAGUCCAAGGAAUAUGUGAUUGGGAGAAUGCGAUCUAAAGAAGUUAGAUUCAUGAGACCAAUCUUUAGUAGACACAUCCUAAACGUUCCUGAUCAUAGGAUUGCCAAUUGGGCAUUGACAGUCCGUUAAGAUCAAUACAUGCUAUGUCUUCUCUUAGUGAGAGUGACUAGUCUCGAGUCAUUGGUGUGUGACAUCAAGACAAGCAUGUAGGUGCUCAAUAAUGAAUGAGUCCACUGAACACGAUCAACGAGAGUUCUCAUACUCAUGUCGCCAUGAAAACUCAUGGUUGGGAUAAUGCAAAGUAGUCCUUUGACCUGAGGCAUCAAGUUGUCUUGUGGUUAAGUCCUUGAUCUUUGAUUAUGUCACAGUCACUCCAUCAGGAGGGUGUCCACGGCACCGUCGGGGUUAAGCCACUUAGCCAUGGAGGCAAGUGAAUGCGCAACAAGGGAUCUCUAACCUUCAAACCGUUUGGGGGAGAAUACUCUAUGAUAUGAUUAAGAAUCUUUGGCCAGAGUAUGAAUGAGAUUUAAGAAGUCGUUCCAAAUCACAUUCAAGGCAAUCAUAUAAGCACACGAAUCACAUUGGAUAGUAGACAUGAAUAAACUAUCAAACCAAACAAUGUGCUCAAGAGUAUUGUAUUAGAGAAAGACCGUAUUGCAUUUGUAAUCCUAAACUGAAUAGGUUCUCCACCUCUUCUGAUUAGCUUGGGUAACCAUGAUAUGCUGCUAGGUGUCACUUAUGGUUUGUGGAAGCCCUAAACGUGUAUAAUCACUAAAGGGAGAAUUGAAAGUAAACUUCAAUUCACAAUCGAUUUGAAAUGGUUUUAAUCGCCCACUGCCUCGCUAAAAGGAACCUAAUGGAUCAUACACCGUGUAAGGUGGAGAUUGAAGAAACAAUGGAGAUGAGUAAGAAUAAUUAAAUGGUUUAAUUAUUUAUGG